GGAUGCGAUCAUACCGGCACUAAUGCACCGGAUCCCAUAAGAAAUCCGCAGAUAUGCGUGCUUGGGCGAGAGUAGUACUAGGAUUAGUGACCUCCAGGGAAAUCCUAGUGUUGCAUCCC
rnacentral:rRNA from 1 species